rnacentral:lncRNA from 1 species
UCUAGCUCUGCUGUCCACCGGCCCGAUGCUCAGACAGUCGCAGGCUCCUGGCCAGUGCUGGCCAUCCCGCAGGCGCUCCCCUCUCCUCGGGAGCUGUGUCGGAGGAGAAGUGGCCAGCUGAAACGAAAGCGACUGGAGAACAGUGGCGUGAUGUCAGUCUGUUACCACCUGGAGGACCUGAAGAAAAGGCAAAGCAGCAUUGAUCAGCUGAAGCGGCUGAAAUGGGGUGGAUACGGAUCCCCAGCCAACUCUGAAGGGCUGGAAGGCGCCGCUGUCUCGCUAGCAGAAGAAUUGCAAAGCGGAAGAGACCUGCUGAGCCGUUUGACCAAGCCAAGACCUUCCUGGCUCUGUGAAGAGGACUCUUUUGUUAGCUGCAGCAGCAGCGGGCAGUGGAGCUGCAGCAUGGGAGAGCAGCAAGGGAUCGCAGAGGUGGUCUCCUCCCUCGUGGCCACGGCAGACCGACCCCAGCCGCCGGUCAGGUGCCUGCCUCAGGAAACCUUCUGGGGCUUUGGGCGUCAGCCAGAAGAGUGAUCUUGAAGUGCUCAGCGUGGGGGAUGGAGCGGGCUAUCACCCAUGCACGCUUGCAGCAGGCCUUAUAUUGAAAGUGGAUUAACUCUCUUCUCCUGACAUCGGGCGUUGAGAAAGUGAACUCCCCGAGUGCCUGCUUCGUUCCUGGUUAUUGACUGUUUCGUGCCUUGAAUUUUGGUUUGGGUUUUGUUGUUUUUUUUGGCAAGGAAAGCAACCGCUUCCUUCUUGAUGCUCUCUGUGGGCUUUCGGGACAUGGCUCCGUAGCCAGAAAGACACCGGCAGAGACUUCAGGAUUGUUUCCAUAGCGAUUCAGCGUGAGUAGAAAAGAAGAGGAGGCUGCCUGUAUUCCCCCGCACUCUGCUCCUACAUAUCGGAGGGGUGUUUUAGUUAGCAAACGCUUAGAGAGCAAAGCGGCCCAGGCAAUGGUCCUAAGGAAUCUGCUGCCUUCUGCGCCUGGGAAUGAUGAGUCGUCCUGACGGGCGAUGAAACGGUCUUGAAGCCAUGUCCCCUGGCCACUCUCCCCACCAAAAAUAUUCAGAUAAGCCUCCAGCCUGGGACCUUGUCAGAACCUGAGCUGAAGUUUGGAUCCAUCUCUGCCCCAGGUGGAAGGCUGUGUUGGCUAGUGGGAGCCUCUGAUGAGUGCCAGUCUCCUGGGAGAC